UGCGUAGGCGGAACUUUAAGUCAGUGGUGAAAUCCCGGGGCUCAACCCCGGAACUGCCAUUGAUACUGGAAGUCUUGAAUUUGGUUGAAGUGGGCGGAAUGUAGCAUGUAGCGGUGAAAUGCUUAGAUAUGCUACAGAACACCGAUCGCGAAGGCAGCUCACUAAGCCAAUAUUGACGCUCAGGCACGAAAGCGUGGGGAGCGAACAGGAUUAGAUACCCUGGUAGUCC
rnacentral:rRNA from 1 species